GCGAAGACGAAGAGGCCCAGGGCCGAGGCUGCCACUCCGUACAGACAGCUGCACACCACCCGGGGCAGCCAGCGCUGUGACACAGCCAGAGCCCCACAGGCCCACAUGACCAGGCACGUGCACCAGGGUACCCUCUCUCAGCGUCCUCCUGCCCCGGUGCCCACCUUGAUGUGGAAGGCUGACAGGGAGAUGCUGGGCCUCCCAGUCGUGCAGCGGAAGCGGAGCUGCUGAUCUGCCAGGAGCUCAGGCUCAGGCGGGGGAUUCUGGCCGGAGCCGCCGGGCCUAGCGCCCAGCGCACCUGCCUCCCUCCUCUGGAAGGCUGUGCAGGUCAGCCCCACGUAGCUGUGCGGCUUGAUGAGGCUGCCCUUGCUGUGUGGUGGCUGAAGACGCUUGGCAUGGCCCACGCUUCCCUAGUGUGGCCUUGGCAGGCCUGGAUGCCCUGGAAGAAGGAAAGCUGGAGAAGAGCAGAGCCCCUCACUGCGCAGCUCCAGGCCCUGGGGGUCCAGCAGGCUUCUCCCCUCCGGAUUCCUCAGGACCAGAGCUCACAGCAUGUUCCCUGCCCCUCUCCUUUCCUGG